rnacentral:rRNA from 1 species
UUUCAAUGUCUGCCCUAUCAACUUUCGAUGGUACUUUCGGCGCCUACCAUGGNNNNACGGGUAACAAGGAANNNNNNNNNNNNNNNNNNNNNNNNNNNNNNNNNNNNNNNNNNNNNNNGWCAGCAGGCGCGCAAAUUACCCAUUACCNNNNNNGACACGGUGAGGUAGUGACGAAAAAUAACAAUACAGGUCUCUUUCGAGGCCCUGUAAUUGGAAUGAGCGUAUCCUAAACCCAUGGGUGAGGACCCAUUGGAGGGCAAGUCUGGUGCCAGCAGCCGCGGUAAUUCCAGCUCCAAUAGCGUAUUUUAAAGUUGCUGCAGUUAAAAAGCUCGUAGUUGGAUGUCGGGAGUGGGCUGGCGGUCCGCNGCGAGKWGYRYSMMCGUCUGUCCCGUACCCCUGUCUCCCGGCGCUCCCCGGAUGCCCUUAACUGGGUGUCCGACGGGGCCCGGAGCGUUUACUUUGAGUAAAUUAGAGUGCUCAAAGCAAGCUUUUGAUUGAAUAAUAAAGCAUGGAAUAAUGGAGGAGGCCUGCUCUCUUUAUAGCGCCGGUAGCUGGAGUAGCAGUAAUGGUUAAAAGGAACAGUCGGGGGUAUUUGUAUUGCUACGUUAGAGGUGAAAUUCUUGGAUCGUGGCAAGACAAACUAACGCGAAGGCAUUUACCAAGAAUGUUUUCAUUAAUCAAGAACGAAAGUCAGAGCAUUGAAGAGGAUUAGAUACCCUCGUAAUUCUGACCAUAAACGAUACCAACUUACGAUUUGUCAAAGUCCAUUCCUGACUUGGCAAGGAGUUAACCGGGAAACCAAAGUUUUUUGGCUCCGGGGGAAGUAUGGUUGCAAAAUCGAAACUUAAAGGAAUUGACGGAAGGGCACCACCAGGAGUUGGCUGCGGCUUAAUUUGACUCAACACGGGAAAACUCACCGGGUCCAGACAUCGAAAGGAUUGACAGAUUGAAUAUCUUUCAUGAUUCAAUGGGUGGUGGUGCAUGGCCGUUCUUAGUUAGUGGAGUGAUCUGUCUGGUUAAUUCCGAUAACGAACGAGAUCCUAGCCAUUUAAAUAGAAGUAGUAACUUCGGUUGCUAUAAACUUCUUAGAGGAACUAUGCGGUCYGGGCUNNMCGCGCGCUACACUGGGUACAGAAUAGUGAUUGUGGAAACCUAGUCCGAGAAGGUCCGGGUAACCACCAAAAUGUACCGGUUAUGAUUGGGAUAGACUCUUGUAACUAGUAGUCUUGAACGAGGAAUUCCUAGUAAUAUCAAGUCAACAACUUGAUGUGAUUACGUCCCUGCCCUUUGUACACACCGCCCGUCGCUACUACUGAUUGGAUGAUUAAGCAAGAACUUCAAAUGCUUGCAGCUGCGGCUUCGUGCUAAAGCAGUGGGCUGAAGAGGAUCGAGCUUUGUUGUCUAGAGGAAGUAAAAGUCGUAACAAGGUUUCCGU